GCGGGUAUGGUUUAUUGGUAGAACGUCUCCUCUUAGGAGGAGAAGGAGCGAGUUCGAUUCUCGCUGCCCGCC
rnacentral:tRNA from 1 species